GCAGUAAUCCGUUCAUUUUUAAUAGGAUUUACAUAAAAGGACUUUGUUAUGAUUCUGAAGAGCUCCUCCCUCAGCAAUAUGGCGGCGGUGACGUAUUUCUAGUCCCCGCCAGUAGCGCAACAGUUCAUGGGAAAUUUCCUCCUCUUCAGGUUGUGGCGCCAAGACUUUCCCCGUUUAAAGGCGGACAAAAAGAAAGCAGGAAAACCCGUUAGGAAUUCCUUUAACUGAGCAUUUCACCGAAGUUUUAAAUCACCAUGUGAGUACAUGAAGCGAAUAUUGUAGCUUAAAUCAGGUUCUUUCUAACAAAAAGGAAUAUUUUUCCUCCUUUAACAACAGAACUCAGCUAACUGCUGAGCAACUUCCACCACAGGAAAAACGAAAUUUGAAAUGUGUGAAAGCCCAGAAUGGAAGAACGCCCUGAAGAAGAUCAUAGAGCAGCUCCGCCAACAGCAGUACCAAAAGAUGCUGGCAGAGCUGGAGGAAAUCCCUAAAAGUGUGAAGGAGGAGACAUCCAGAGAAGAGAUGGCUCAGACCAUCCUUGAGUAUUAUGGAGAGGAGGAGUCCAUCACUGAAAUCAAGAGGAUCAUGGAUGAGAUACCAAGGAGAGAUUCUCCAAUUCAGAACCUGCUGAAUCCAUUUGUGGAGAAACUAGGAAAGAAGAGGAAACCUGGACCAAAGUCAGAGAAGCAGCAGGAGUCUCCAUCCGAGUUUAAGAAGAAGAAGAAGACUGAGAGUGAUCCUGAUGAUGAUGACGAUGACGAUGAUGAUGAUGAUGAUGGAGCUGGGUUUGAUUCUGAUUCUUCAGGUGAUGAAACUCAAGCUGACGAUCCAGGAAGUUCUCGGUCUGAGAAGAAGGUUCUUCAUUGGAGACAGCGCAUCAGGCUGCUGAAGGAAAAUGGUGGCACUAAUAGAAAACCUGUAGGUGGAAAGGUUAUUCAGAAAUGUGCUCUGCGUACCUAUAAAACCAAAGAAAAACAGAAGAAGUUCUUCCAUCUGGCAGUCGCCGAUGAGACCGACUGCAUCAAAGUCACGGUUUAUGGAGAAGAACAAUUUAAUAAAGUAGAAGAGGGACGACUUUACCUUUUCACAGAUGUGGAAGUGGAUGUAGUGCACGGUGAGACGGUGAUGAAGGUGACCAAGCACAGCAAAAUCUCAGAGACUAACGGCAUUAAAGUUCCCAAGAAUCUGGAGCUGCAGAGUCCAUUUUUUUCCAUCGAGAAGAUCCAGUCCUUUAAGGAGGAGACAGCAGUGAGUGUUGAAGGAACUGUGAUUGAGAUUGAAUUCCAGAAUGACGAUACCAAAGAAAAUGCACACGAGUUCCAACUUCAAGAUGAAACCGGUUUCAUCUGGAUCAAGCUGUGGCGCAAAAAGCUGAGAGGAAUGUCCGUGGGAGAUUUGGUCAGAGUGACCAACCUAACGACCAAUCGUUACUUUGAGACGGUGUCUCUGAACUCCACCGACUUCACCAGAAUUCAUAAGAUGAAGACUGCUGCUGUCCAGCGUGUCACCAUGCAGACUGUAGGGAUCCUUGAAGCAGGAAAGGAGCAGUGUAAGCUGGACGUGCUGAUCAACCACAAGUCCAGAUCCUUCUUCAUCCAAUCUUCUCUCCUGGCUGACGUUCUUGGUGUCAGUCUGGAUGACGACUUCAAGGACAGACUUGUGAAGAAAAUCCCGUUUUCAGCCAAAGGAGAAAUAAAACAAAACAAAAUCCUGACUCUUAAAGCUGCAAAAGCCACAAAAACUUAACAGAACCAGAGCUUGUAAAACGAGUUGUGGCCUGUUAUGAUAAAUUCUGUGGAUUGUAAUUUCUACCACCUUAGUUUUCAUCUUUGGGUAGUUAUAAUAUAUUUAAGUUAGUUUAGAACCAAAGUUUAUAGUUAUUUUUUUUUUAAUUAUGUUGUUAAUUGUUAGGCCCUCCCAUUAAUUUGAGUAAUUAAUUAAGAACACAGCAGGUGCUUGGAGAAUAGCUCAAAGAAUAGACUUUAAAAUACUGUUGUUAGUUUAUAAAUUACUGAAU